CUGUACAGUUCAGAGUUUGAUCCUGGCUCAGGAUGAACGCUGGCGGCGUGCUUAACACAUGCAAGUCGAACGAAGCACCUUUGAUUGAUUCUUCGGAUGAAAGAUUUGGUGACUGAGUGGCGGACGGGUGAGUAACGCGUGGGUAACCUGCCUCAUACAGGGGGAUAACAGUUAGAAAUGACUGCUAAUACCGCAUAAGCGCACGGUAUCGCAUGAUACAGUGUGAAAAACUCCGGUGGUAUGAGAUGGACCCGCGUCUGAUUAGCUAGUUGGUGAGGUAACGGCUCACCAAGGCGACGAUCAGUAGCCGGCCUGAGAGGGUGAACGGCCACAUUGGGACUGAGACACGGCCCAA
rnacentral:rRNA from 1 species